GAUGAAGAACGUAGCGAAAUGCGAUACGUAGUGUGAAUUGCAGAAUUCAGUGAAUCAUCGAAUCUUUGAACGCACAUUGCACCUCUCGGUAUUCCGGGAGGUAUGCCUGUUCGAGCGUCAUUUGUACCCUCAAGCUCUGCUUGGUGUUGGGUGUUUGUUCCGCCUCUGUGUGUGAACUCGCCUCAAAACAAUUGGCGGCCGGCGUACUUGUUUCGGAGCGCAGCACAUUUUGCGAUCCAGAUCAACGUACAGCGGCAUCCAAGAAGCCUUAUUUAACGCUCUUGACCUCGGAUCAGGUAGGGAUACCCGCUGAACUUAAGCAUAUCAAUAAGCGGAGGA
rnacentral:misc_RNA from 1 species